rnacentral:rRNA from 1 species
AGUGAACGCUGGCGGUAGGCCUAACACAUGCAAGUCGAACGGCAGCACAGUAAGAGCUUGCUCCUACGGGUGGCGAGUGGCGGACGGGUGAGGAAUACAUCGGAAUCUACUUUUUCGUGGGUGCUGACGUAGGGAAACUUACGCUAAUACCGCAUACGACCUACGGGUGAAAGCAGGGGAUCUUCGGACCUUGCGCGAUUGAAUGAGCCGAUGUCGGAUUAGGUAGUUGGCGGGGUAAAGGCCCACCAAGGCGACGAUCCGUAGCUGGUCUGAGAGGAGGAUCAGCCACACUGGAACUGAGACACGGUACAGACUCCGACGGGAGGCAGCAGUGGGGAAUAUUGGACAAUGGGCGCAAGCCUGAUCCAGCCAUACCGCGUGGGUGAAGAAGGGCUUCGGGUUGUAAAGCCCUUUUGGUGUGAAAGAAAAGCAGCAGGUUAAUACCCGGCUGUUCUGACGGUACCGAAAGAAGAAGCACCGGCUAACUUCGUG